rnacentral:rRNA from 1 species
GACGAACGCUGGCGGCGUGCUUAACACAUGCAAGUCGAACGGAAAGGCCCUGCUUGCAGGGUACUCGAGUGGCGAACGGGUGAGUAACACGUGGGUGAUCUGCCUUGCACUUCGGGUUAAGCCUGGUAAACUGGGCCUAAUUCCGGCCAGGUGCCAUUUUUAGUCUGAUGGUUGGAAAGUUUUUUCGGUGUAGGCUGAGCUCGCGGCCUAUCUGCUUGUUGGUGGGGUAAUGGCCUACCAAAGCGGCGACGGGUAGCCGGCCUGCGAGGGUGGACGGCGACACUGAGACUGAGGGGAGGCCCAGGUAGCGACGCGAGGCAGCAGUGGGGAAGAUUGACGGAGGGGCGCAAGCUGGAUGCAGAGAGUCUGCGGAGGGGAAGACGGUCUUAGGGUUGUAAACUCCUUGCGCAAGGAACGAAGCUUUUUGUGACGGUACCUAGAUAAGAAGCAACGGCUAACUACGUG